AGGAAGAGAAAAGAUAUGGAUUUGGACGAAAGAACAACUACAAAAGAAGAGUGCACACCAUCUGAACAGAAUAAUACAGAUGCAAAUGUCGGUGAAUUAAAUGUGACUUCAAAAGUUGCUGUUUCAAAAGUUGUUGUGGUUGGACUCAGUGCAGUAGAAAAAUCAGAGAAGAAAAGACAGACAAGAAAAAGAUAAGGAUUCAGAUGUAGGAACAACGACAACUACAAUAUUUUGAGAUUCACAUGGUGGAAAAAGACUGGAAAGUGGUGAACAAAAUGACUUUAAAGGAAGGUAAGGUAGUGAAUUGUAUUUCUCCUGCUAUAAGCAGCAACCUUUCUUUCUCGUUAUUUUCCUUUUGUGUGGAUUCUUGAAUCUUGACACUCUAGUAUUAAGUUUGACCGACUUUAAGCCGAACUUAUAGUUGACAAAGAAGAUUAUGGAUUUAUGGUUAUCAUAUUAACAUAGAGCUACACUUUUGAGUA